rnacentral:rRNA from 1 species
CCCUUAGAUGUUCUGGGCCGCACGCGCGCUACACUGAUGCAUUCAACGAGUCUAAAACCUGCUCUGAUAGGGGUGGGUAAUCUUUUGAAUGUGCAUCGUGAUUGGGAUAGAUGAUUGAAAUUUUUCAUCUUCAACGAGGAAUGCCUAGUAAACGCAAGUCAUCAGCUUGCAUUGUUUACGUCCCUGCCCUUUGUACACACCGCCCGUCGCUCCUACCGAUUGAAUGAUCCGAUGAAUAUCAUGGAUUGAGGAUGCAAGUAGGUUCACCUAUCUUCAUCUUCGAGAAGUGAAGUAAAUCUUAUCAUUUAGAGGAAGGAGAAGUCGUAACA